UACGGGGGGGCAAGCGUUGUUCGGAAUUAUUGGGCGUAAAGAGCUCGUAGGCGGUCUGUUGCGUCGGCUGUGAAAACCCGGGGCUCAACCCCGGGCCUGCAGCCGAUACGGGCAGACUAGAGUUCGGCAGGGGAGACUGGAAUUCCUGGUGUAGCGGUGAAAUGCGCAGAUAUCAGGAGGAACACCGGUGGCGAAGGCGGGUCUCUGGGCCGAUACUGACGCUGAGGAGCGAAAGCGUGGGGAGCGAACAGG
rnacentral:rRNA from 1 species